rnacentral:rRNA from 1 species
AUUGAACGCUGGCGGCAUGCCUUACACAUGCAAGUCGAACGGCAGCACGGGAGCAAUCCUGGUGGCGAGUGGCGAACGGGUGAGUAAUAUAUCGGAACGUGCCCAGUCGUGGGGGAUAACGUAGCGAAAGCUACGCUAAUACCGCAUACGAUCUAUGGAUGAAAGCGGGGGAUCGCAAGACCUCGCGCGAUUGGAGCGGCCGAUAUCAGAUUAGGUAGUUGGUGGGGUAAAAGCCUACCAAGCCUUCGAUCUGUAGCUGGUCUGAGAGGACGACCAGCCACACUGGAACUGAGACACGGUCCAGACUUCUACGGGAGGCAGCAGUGGGGAAUUUUGGACAAUGGGCGCAAGCCUGAUCCAGCAAUGCCGCGUGCAGGAUGAAGGCCUUCGGGUUGU